GACGAACGCUGGCGGCGCGCCUAACACAUGCAAGUCGAACGAGCGAGAGAGAGCUUGCUUUCUCGAGCGAGUGGCGAACGGGUGAGUAACGCGUGAGGAACCUGCCUCAAAGAGGGGGACAACAGUUGGAAACGACUGCUAAUACCGCAUAAGCCCACGACCCGGCAUCGGGUAGAGGGAAAAGGAGCAAUCCGCUUUGAGAUGGCCUCGCGUCCGAUUAGCUAGUUGGUGAGGUAACGGCCCACCAAGGCGACGAUCGGUAGCCGGACUGAGAGGUUGAACGGCCACAUUGGGACUGAGACACGGCCCAGACUCCUACGGGAGGCAGCAGUGGGGAAUAUUGCACAACGGGGGAAACCCUGAUGCAGCGACGCCGCGUGGAGGAAGAAGGUCUUCGGAUUGUAAACUCCUGUUGUUGAGGAAGAUAAUGACGGUACUCAACAAGGAAGUGACGGCUAACUACGUG
rnacentral:rRNA from 1 species